ACGGGUGAGGAAUACAUCGGAAUUUGCCCUGUCGUGGGGGAUAACGUAGGGAAACUUACGCUAAUACCGCAUACGACCUAACGGUGAAAGGGGGGGAUCGCAAGACCUCCCGCGGUUGGAUAAGCCGAUGUCAGAUUAGCUAGUUGGCGGGGUAAAGGCCCACCAAGGCGACGAUCUGUAGUUGGUCUGAGAGGAUGAUCAGCCACACUGGGACUGAGACACGGCCCAGACUCCUACGGGAGGCAGCAGUGGGGAAUAUUGGACAAUGGGGGCAACCCUGAUCCAGCAAUGCCGCGUGUGUGAAGAAGGCCUUCGGGUUGUAAAGCACUUUUAUCAGGAGCGAAACACGUAAGGUUAAUAACCUUGCGGACUGACGGUACCUGAGGAAUAAGCACCGGCUAACUUCGUGCCAGCAGCCGCGGUAAUACGAAGGGUGCAAGCGUUACUCGGAAUUACUGGGCGUAAAGCGUGCGUAGGUGGUUUCUUAAGUCUGCUGUGAAAGCCCCGGGCUCAACCUGGGAAUUGCAGUGGAUACUGGGGAGCUGGAGUGCGGUAGAGGGUAGUGGAAUUCCCGGUGUAGCGGUGAA
rnacentral:rRNA from 1 species